rnacentral:rRNA from 1 species
AUUGAACGCUGGCGGCAGGCUUAACACAUGCAAGUCGAGCGGAGAUGAGGUGCUUGCACCUUAUCUUAGCGGCGGACGGGUGAGUAAUGCUUAGGAAUCUGCCUAUUAGUGGGGGACAACAUUCCGAAAGGAAUGCUAAUACCGCAUACGUCCUACGGGGGAAAGCAGGGGAUCUUCGGACCUUGCGCUAAUAGAUGAGCCUAAGUCGGAUUAGCUAGUUGGUGGGGUAAAGGCCUACCAAGGCGACGAUCUGUAGCGGGUCUGAGAGGAUGAUUCGCCACACUGGCACAGAGACACGGCCCAGACUCCUACGGGAGGCAGCAGUGGGGAAUAUUGGACAAUGGGGGGAACCCUGAUCCAGCCAUGCCGCGUGUGUGAAGAAGGCCUUAUGGUUGUGAAGCACUUUAAGCGAGGAGGAGGCUACUGAGACUAAUACUCUUGGGUAGUGGACGUUGCUCGCAGAAUAAGCACCGGCUAACUAUGUGCCAGCAGCAGCCGCGGUA